ensembl:lncRNA
AAUCCUUAUCUCAGCCAAUUUUAUAACAACAGAAAAAUGUGUUUUUUAAUUAGGUGGAUUAUAGUUAAUUGAAAUAAGGGGUUGAUAUAUAAUAUAUUUUUUUCUUUUUUUAUGAGGGGAAACAAGUCCGAAAUUCAAUCCGGGAAUGACACGCCUCAAAAGCCUUUUUGAAUCUCAAAUGGAGUGUGUGUCCUGCACUGCAAUAAGAUUAUCUUGCAACCUGGUGUUCAAAUUAACAUCUGUAUGAUAAGUUGGAUAUUGUUAGGUGGUUAUUACUAAAAGCACACUUCCAAGCCCAGGUGGGUGUGUUGUGUGUUUAAUCCCUGUUGUGAUGCCCUUAACCUGGGUUAGUUUACUACUGAGCCUCCUUGUUGGUGGUUGUCUAACUUGGCUUCCUGGUUUCCCGUCUGUUAUUGCAAGUUCCUCUUGUACUAUUGUACUACCAAAGUGAAACAAGGAAAUCAUGAGUGGGGGCAAGAAGCUUUAUCUGAUUCUGCCUUAAGUUUAGGGUUAGGCUCAGAAUUUUUGACAGAGUUUCACGUAGGGAUUUAAUUAUUUAACCAGGAAAGGCACAUUGCGACUAGAAUUCUUUCCAGUGCAUCCUGGCCAAGAUCGGCAGCAGCUAGUUCUCUCUAAUUUAAAAGUGUACAUAGAAAUAACAAUGAAAAUUCACAAUCAUUAAACAGCCAGUGAAAAGCAUUGACAGGCAUGAGGUUUAGGUUUCUAGGGUUAGGAGUUGGGUAAAACGAUGUGGCCGGUCCUCACUUUGGUAGUAAAACUGGUGUGUAAGUCGUUGCCAGAUUAGGUGUCGUUCUAGGCUAUGCUACUCCAAUGGAAUGUCAUUACACCCUGGAUUGUCAUGUUGACGGUUGUCCUGACAAAAUCCAGAAAUUUCGUCCAUAGUCUCCUAGAUUGCCCAGCCCAAAGACUAAACGACACGCUAAUCUAUAAGUAGUGCCCUACCUCAGAUCAGGUCCCAGAGCAUGUAGUGUACAGGUUGUCAUUUGGGGCACACAUAUUCAGAUAAGGAGCCAGAUAGAGGAGGAGGAGAUUGUGGGGAAGCUAGCGUUGGUAUGCCCGCCCAUGUCUGGCUCUAGCCCUGCCCAUCAGUAUCAGGGGGCCAAUCAAAUGGAACCCUUUGUUUUCCUGGCACCAAUCUGAACGUUUUGAUUGUCCUCUAGGUCUAGGGAGGGUUUCCCUGCCGAGGGGGAGCUGACGGACGUGUGCUUGUUGGGCCCCUCACCGUUGAUGUAGUGUUCCGUGAUUCCAUGUGUUGAUUCGUGGUUUCCAUGAAACUGCGCUGACCUUGGUUGAUGAACGAAUGGAGGUCGUAUGGGUCCGGGGGUCAGGCUGGGUCCGGGGGUCAGGGUGGGUCCGGGGGUUCAGGUGUUUCUCUGUUCCGCCCAUAUCUCCCUUCAUCUCCCUCCAUCCCUGGUUCUUGUCAUUGUGACGGAGAGGUUGCCGUGGUAGCAGAUGUAGUUUCUGAAUGUGCCGUAAUGUGACAAUCCAGUUACUCCUUAAGAGUGUGUGUGAGGAGUACCUUUCCAGCCCUUCAGAGUGAAAUGUUUGUGUGUGUGUGUUAGUUUGCUUGCGUCUCAAUGACUGAUGUAUCGUCAUGAACCCUUGCCUUAGCCCAAACCCUUUUGUCCAACCGCUAACAUGGUCUACUCUCCACUCACAUUCAAACAUUACCGGGUAGCUACCUUUCCUUUAUUCAUACAUUACCGGGUAGCUACCUUUCCUUUAUUCAAACAUUACCGGGUAGCUACCUUUCCCUUAUUCAAACAUUACCGGGUAGCUACCUUCCCUUUAUUCAAACAUUACCGGGUAGCUACCUUCCCUUUAUUCAAACAUUACCGGGUAGCUACCUUCCCUUUAUUCAAACAUUACCGGGUAGCUACCUUCCCUUUAUUCAAACAUUACCGGGUAGCUACCUUAUGUAAUAUCGAAUUUAAAACAACAAUGUCAGUGCGCGUCCUCCAACGUUAAACUGGGGUAACGUCGGUUAGAAAAUGUCCAGUGUUCUGGUGUGAUGACAACAUGAAUAACAACUGACGCUGUGUAGAAUAUUAGUGGUAUGAAUGUCUGCCUCUGUCCCUAAUGCCACACUAUUCCCCACACAGUGCACUGGUUUUCACCAGAGUCCUGCGGGAGCCCUAUGCAGGGAACAGGGGGGCCGUUUGGGAGGUGUCUCCACAGACGCUUUCUAUCAGGACAGACUGUUGGCUUGGAAAGUGGAGAGAGAGAUCGAGAGAGGGAUCGAGGGAGGGAGGGAGGGAGGGAGAAGAACCAGGAGGCCAUAUGUUGUGUCAACGCAGAUCAAAGAGUCAACAUUGGAGCAUCAGAGCGACAGAUGGACUCUCAGACACACACACACACACACACAUACGCACACACGCACAUUUAUAUACACACACAAACAAACAUAAACAUAACACAUGGCUGUCCAUCACACGCCCUUAGUUCAGUUUCUGUGUGUGCGGUGAAUGUGUGUGCAUGUGGUGUGUGUUAACAUUUAACCUUAAUCCUUCCUGUGCUUGGGCGCGCACACACACCUAACCACCCCUCGGACACAGAGUUCACAGUUAAAGACUUGUUGGACUGAAGAGAGAUGAAGAGAGACUGAGAAGAGAUGGGGGUUGGAAAGAGACAGGAGAGCGAGAGAAAGAAAGAAUGCAAGAGAAAAAGGUUGACAGAGGAAGUGAAAGCAAGCCUCCGGCCGAAAACUAUGUCAGACAGGAACAGAGAGCAACACGGUGUUAACAGAAGUGGACAUUUUUCUAUUGAUGCACUGGGUGGAACUAAAGAAAAACUGUUCACAUACUGUAUGAGGACAUUUUUUAAAUUCAUUUUGUUUGCACUUUCAUGUGUAAUUUAGUCAUCUUGUUCUUUUUUGAACUCUGGUUUAUUGUCACCAUGAGUUGAGAAAAGGGUGAGGGUCGCGGUCAUUUGUUUCUGGUUUUGUAUUUUACUUUCAUUUUAGUUUUUUACCUCACACAUGGCAGCUUCUUGUUUAAUGUCUUUUAAAGGUGUCAGAAAGCUCUUAGUACUACCCGCCUUCUGCUUGUUCUGUAGAGUGUCGUUCCACUUUAUGUUCCAGCUCCGCCUUCAAAACGAGAAGGGACUGUUCUGCCAUUUUGGGUCAAAACAACGGCUGUCAAUGAAGCCUUGUGCCCCUUCUGUACAGUAGUGGUGUUUUAUUCCAAUUACAGAAUCUUACCCACGCCAUUGAAACAAAGAGCUCUGCACCUACCCUUCCUUGAUCAUUUUGGGUCAAAACUACUCAGUUGCCAAUCAUUGUAAUGCUAUUAUGUAUGUUUUCAGUAACCUUAACCACCUUAACUUCCUGUGCUAUUUGUGCUAUUUUGUCAUGAGUGAGGGGUCGUUCUUUCAUGAUGCCUCUCAGUUGGAAAUCCGACAUGCUUUCUGGUUGGGACAAACACACACACACCCUGUGGCUGAUUACAUUUAAAUGGCCCGUCUGACUACUGUAGCUACUUUGUCCGCCCUGACUGUCCUCUGUUUGGCCCCUAAAGGAUCUCAUUGUUCAGUGAAUGUCAACUGUCUGUCAUUGUCCGUCUCAACCACUCUGAACCAGUUCCGGCCUUUCUGGGCGCGGAACCAAGGAGAAUAAUCGAAAUAUCUCGACAUGCUGCGGGACAGCGGUUCUCAAACCCGUCCUAGGGACCUCCAGCCGGUUAAUGUAUUCGAAUUUAUUUCAGAGCCGGCUCCCCUGAAUCAACUUGUUACUUAUUAUCGAGCCCAUGGCCGCUUGAUUCGGGUGAGCUAGUUCAGGUCUACAACGAGAAUGUGAGUCGACGGGAGGGUCCGGAGGAGAUGAUUGAAAACCACUUCUGACUGGUACUGCAAGAGGGUGGACAGGUGGAAAACCCCUUUCUGACUGGUGCCACACUGGGAUUAUGGUUUUAUUUUUCUUCUGACUCUUUCAAUGUUUGUACUGAGGUUCUCCCCUGUGUUUCCUCAAUUAUUCUCACUUCUGAGGUGAUGAAAGAGUGAGAGUCCGUUGUUUUAACACACAAGCUUAUUUUUGCAUGCGGAAUUACAUCUCAGAUGGCGAUUGCUGUAUUUCUGUCUGAAACAAUUAAUUGCACCUUACAGUGAAUGAGAAGUGUUUUUGUAUUGAAUGUGGGUUACAGAUUGUUUUUGUUGGUUUUUCUUUGUCGGUUUUUGAUCAUUGUAAAGAAGGCUAACCAUUGCUGCUUUUAACGUUGAAUGGAAGUUAGCAGUGGCAAGGCUAAUUUUGCUAACCAGUGUGGCAUUGAUAAUUUUAGAGAAGUUAGCAAUAGCCACACACAUUUGGCUAACUAGUGUUGCAUUGACAAUGGUAAAGACAAUGGUUAGCGACGUCUAGGCUAAUUCUGCCAACCGUUUCAAGUUAGUUUUUUCUUCAUGGGCUUACAGUAGGCUAACCGGUUGUAUUCUAUACAGGCUUUGAUUUUGUUCAGCUCCCAGAAACCACAAGGUGGCCUAUUCUCCCUCCAAGCACGAUUUGCCUUCUGACGCGGCGCGCGCGCACACACACACGCACACACGGGCAGGGUGACAUUCUAUACAGAAACCCAAUUGUUGUCAUUAACUGCCUGUCCCAUCUCUACUGACUUCCUAGAGAAAAGGAUGGAUGACGUCUUUACGCACACACGCACAAGCGGUCCAUCUUGCCCUUGAGAGUGUUAAGGCCAAGGUCCACUGGAUGACAAGGGGGUCUGGUGCCAGAGACACUGAAAAACAGUCACUCAUACGCUCUCUCACACACACACACACACACGUACAGUCCUGCCACCUUGGCACCGGACAGGCUGUGCUAUGCUUCAGACCGCCACCCCCUGAUUGUCCCAGGUGCUCUGUUUUGUCUUCAGGCCAUUAACCCAUCCUGGCUUCCUGCCAGCUCUUACUCAUCUAAACACACACACACACACAAAUUCUGUUUUGUGUUCCUAGGUUUUCUUUUUCUACGUUUUCACUGUGGAAAGGGUUUAUUCACUGGCUAUAGCUAGACUGCGGUAUGUUUCGAGGCACUCAGGCCGACGCAAUUGGCCGAUGAUCGCCGUGAGUCACGGGAAAACCAAUUGAUGUGUGUCGCAGGGGUCCAGCCUUGCUGUCUACUCCAAGGACAAAGGACAAUCAACACGGUAACCUUACCCCCACCCCCUUAAGUAGAGGAAGGUGAUGUCAUGACAACAGUGUGUGACGACCAUAUCCGAUGUCUCCCCAUACCCCUUGAUGACACGCGUUGUAAAUUGUCAUUGUUGGAUUUGUUUGAAAUAUCACCUUCAGCAAUAUUUUACAUUUGUUACUUUGUCUGAUCAGAAUUGUUUUGCUUGUUUGUUGUCGUUUUUGUUCUGAUCACCAGCCCAUGUUCGACUGCGUGUGCGUGUGGGCGGGUGUGUGUGUGCUGGCUUGUGUGUAUGUGAGCAUGUGAGUUUGUCUGCUUUCGCGUGAGUGUGUGUGUUGUUCCAUGGCUAGAUGUUCUGCUUAACCAAUCAGCAUCAGUCCAAGCAGUCUGUGUUAACUGUUAUGUGAGUUUCUGGGACGAGUUCAUUUUGGCACCACAUGAAAUAAAUCUGACUGACACAGGGGAGGGACUCUGGACCUGGGCCAAUAAGAAGUUAUUUUUUAUUCUGUGUUGCAAAACGUUCUGGUUCGUUUUUGGUCAUGGACCCUAAUGAACAUGCCCUAGAUGUUCCUGUAUUCAGCAGCUGUACUCGAAAGAAGGAGGAAACCAUGAGAGAAAGACUGAGAGAUGGUGGAAUUUUACAAAGAAGAAAAUAUCUUAUGUUUUCCCUCUCCUCCGUGUGGUAUCAUCACAAAAAAGUGUACAUUUCUAAGUUAAUUUUUGAAAAAUAAAAAACCUUUGUUCUGUAUAUGAAUGGCUGUAUGUUAACCUUGAACAAAAAGUAAUGAAUUCUAUGACAAAUAAAUAUAAUAAAUUAAUAAAAAAAAAAAAUGUAAUCCCUUUUUCCUUUGUGUCUCUAUGUGCAUUGGUCGUGUCCUAAUAACGUGCCUCUUCCAGAAACCUUCCCUCAUUCCCUACAUCUAGCUCAUCUUGGUGGAGGAGAGGGCGAGUGGACGUCCCCAUCAAAUCUCCAUUCUUAUCUGGGAAGAGAAGG